rnacentral:rRNA from 1 species
AGCGAACAUUGGCGGUAGGCUUAACACAUGCAAGUCGAGCGAGGCGUAAUAGUCGAGCGGCGAACGGGUGCGUAAUACGUGGGAAUCUACCCUGAAGUGGGGGAUAACGUUCAGAAAUGGACGCUAAUACCGCAUAAUCCACAUUGGGAAAGCGUUGCAGCGCUUUAGGAUGAGCCCAUGGCUGAUUAGCUAGUUGGUGAGGUAAUGGCUCACCAAGGCGACGAUCAGUAGCUGGUCUGAGAGGAUGACCAGCCACACUGGAACUGAGACACGGUCCAGACUCCUACGGGAGGCAGCAGUGGGGAAUCUUGCGCAGUGGGGGCAACCCUGACGCAGCCAUACCGCGUGAGUGAUGAAGGUCUUCGGAUUGUAAAGCUCUUUCGGCGGGGACGACGAUGACGGUACCCGCAAAAGAAGUCACGGCUAACUUCGUGCCAGCAGCCGCUGUAA